UAAUUUGUCCCCUGAGCACUCCUAUUGUAGUUGACUUACUCAGUCUCUAAACCUACUACAUCAGCAGCUUGCAGAAGCCCUUUCCUAACACAUACACCCACACAGCCCAAAGAAAAUAGAAGAAGAAAUGAAUCCAUUCUUCACCAUUUUCUUGUUCCUUGUCCCCAUCUUCCUUCUUAUUGUCAAGGGAAGAAAAUCAUCCACCAAACUACCUCCAGGUUCACUGGGGAUUCCCAUAAUAGGCCAUAGCCUGCAGCUUCUCAAAGCAAUGAGAACCAAUACUGCAGAAAAAUGGCUUCACGAAAGGAUACAAAAAUAUGGCUCAAUAUCAAAGCUGACCCUCUUUGGCAAACCAACUGUUUUCAUAUAUGGAAAUGAAGCAAAUAAGUUUGUAUUCACCAGCGAUAGUAGCACGAUCUCCUACAGUCAAACAACGUCUCUGAAGAUGAUUUUGGGAGAUCGAUGUAUAGCAGAACUCUGCGGACAAGAUCACAAGCGCAUCAGGGAUGCACUCCUAUCAUUUCUAAAACCUGAAUCAUUGAAAAACUAUGUGGGGAAAAUGGAUGAGGAAGUAAGGAUGCAUAUGGAGACUCAUUGGAAAGGAAAACAAGAGAUCACUGUCUUACCCUUAAUGAAGAAGCUAUCGUUCGAUGUCAUUUGCUCCCUUCUAUUUGGAAUCGAGCAAGGAGGAACUCGAAGAGAUAAGCUUGUGACUUGGUUCCAACAAAUGAUAGGAGGAAUAUGGUCAGUCCCCAUUAACUUGCCAUUCACACGCUUCAAUCUCGGCCUUCGUGCAAGUGCAAGGGUUCGAAACUUUUUGAAGGAUCUCAUAGCUGAAAAAAGGAUGGAGCUGAAAAAGGGUGCUGAUCCUCACCAGGACCUCAUCACUUGCUUGCUUAGCACCCGUGAUGAAAACAAUGGAGAAGGGAUGACCGAGAAGGAGAUUGUGGAUAAUGUUAUUCUUGUUUUGACUGCAGGACAUGACACUUCAGCUAUUCUGAUAACUUUCAUGAUCCGGCUUUUAGCUAUUGAACCUUCAAUCUACGCAGCUGUUCUUGGAGAACAAGAAGGGAUAGCUAAAAGCAAGCCCAGGGGAGAGUUGUUAACUUGGGAGGACCUUGCCAAGAUGAAGUACACAUGGAAAGUAGCACUGGAAACUUUGAGAAUGUUCCCUCCAAUCUUUGGUGGCUUCAGGAAAGCUGUUAAGGAUAUAGAAUACAACGGAUACAUCAUUCCUGAAGGGUGGCAAAUAUUCUGGACAAUGAAUAUGACUCACAUGGAUGACAGCAUAUUCACCGAACCAUCAAAGUUUGAUCCGACCAGAUUCGACAACCAAGCUUCAAUCCCACCUUACAGCUUUAUUGCAUUCGGAGGAGGGCCUCGGAUGUGUCCAGGAUAUGAAUUUGCAAAAAUCGAAGCCCUUGUUACAAUCCAUUAUCUGGUCACUCAAUUUACAUGGAAGUUAUGUGCAGAUACUAGUUUCAGUAGGAAUCCAAGGCUCAUGCCAUCGGAAGGGUUACCAAUCAAAAUCAUACCAAAGAAAUAAAAUGAAAGCUGUAUUUUCUCCCCCUCACUGCAACCCUAAUUCAGAAAAAUAAAUUGCAGUAUGAUGGAAGGGGUGUGGUCAAUCCCCUUCACAAGCUAUAACCGUAGCCUUCAGGCAAGUGCAAGGAUUCGAGAUACGGGGAAGGAUCUCAUAGGUGAAAAGAGGGUUGGAACUUGCACAGAAGAGUUCCGAUCCACGCCAAGAUCUCAUCAGUUGCAUGCUUAGCACCCGUGAU